AGAGAAUUGUAGACACAAAGACUCAAAGAGGCGAUUGAAGAGAGAAGAAUUUCGAAGAAAACGACCCUAUCCAGAAAUGGAUGAAAAUCAAUAUGAAGGCUUUUCAACUCCUACCUCCCAUACAUCUUCUGAUCGUACUACUGGUUCGAAUGCACUUACUAUGCCUUCAAAGAAAACCAAGCGAGCUGGACCUCCUGAAGGCAGAAGAAGGGCCCCAAUUUGGGAUCAUUAUGUUUUCUCACAGGUGAAUGGUAAGGAUGAAAUGGAAGGUAAGAUGGAAACAUUUGCAACAUUUGCCAUGUAUGGGUAGAUUUUUUCAUAUUCGUUGUUGUGCGCAUAUUUUGAACCUUAUUGUUCAAUGUGGCAUGAAAACUGUAGAUGCUAGUGUGAUUAAGUUACGUGAUGCAGUGAAUUACAUUGAAGCUUCUGAUUUUAGAAAAUGUAAAUUUGACCAAUGUGUGAUUGAUUCAAGGUGUAAGUUUGUUGGUAGGUUAACAUAUGAUUGUGUACAAGGUGGAAUUCC